rnacentral:lncRNA from 1 species
UUGAAGCAGCUUGAGACUCACAGUCGAGCCACACGCCGAGGGGCACGCAAAGCAGCUGCGGAUUGCUGAGCAGCAAUGUUUUGAGGCGCUGUCUACUUGUGAGCGACGUUAAAGUAGCCAGCGCAGGCUCUGCGUUCCUGCUCAGACCGUUAAUAUCUCCAACACUGCGAAAGGUUUCAGCUGGUAUGCCCAAGUCCUCCAGGUGCUCUCGAACACUUGCCGGCAUUUGGAAGGGGGACGUCGAUCGACAGACCAGGCGCAGACUGCCAGGUGGGUUUGCUACGGCUGGAAUAUUACAUAGCCAACAUGCAUUCUGCGUUGAGGCUUUUCUCCAUUGGAGCGGCCGGAGCCGGCUAUGCCUGGAUAGCGUUUGCGCGUGCAUUAGCAACCCUAACUGGUAAUCUGAUCUUCACCGGCCUUCAACAACACGGCUGGCAAACCAAGUUUAUAGAUAUCAAAACGCAAGAGUGCAUUUUGUGGGAAUACCUUAGUAAAUUACAACUGAUGCCCCUGCUGACUUCAAUUCCAUUUCCCAGCCUACGAAGAUAGAUGAGAUAUCGUCUGGCAACAUUUCAAUUUGCAUAAGCAAAACAUAUUCCUUGCGGCUUACAUGCUGAAAAAUGCAAAUGAAGGAAUUAGUCGGUUGUUGCCGUUGCUUGUGCCACGGCUUGCGGCAGAGGAACGUCUGAUGGCCAAGCCAUGCGGAGAAUGGAUUAGUAAGGAGCUGCGAACAUCAGUCCAUUCGGUAAUGUCAUGUCGAACUACACAACUACUGCAGGGACGGAAUUCCUGGAGAUUCUGAACUAGAAGGGGCAUUGGAAGCACACCUGCUGAAUUUAAUUGUAAAUAGAUUGUAACACAUGGCGUGUGUAAACGUGAGAGUGCGGCAAAGCUGGAGCAGGGUGCUGCUGAGAUCGCUUGCAGCAGUUAGUAGGUAGAUCGAAAGGCACGACACUUUGCCUUAUUGUUGCCGUGGUAAUUUACCAUUCACGUCGACGCUGCCUGCCGUACUCACGGCGCUGGGAAUGGAGAGCCCUCAGAGAGGGGACACAGAUGAGAAGGAAAAGAAGACAAUCAUGGAGGGAGUGGAAAGGUUGUGAGGGCAGACGGUUUGCAUUGGCCCCUGACAAUAUGCAAGGAUAAUACUUGCAUUGCUCCUAUGUACCUUACAAUAAAAUACCUCAUAAAUGUAAGAUUU